rnacentral:rRNA from 1 species
UACGAAGGGGGCAAGCGUUGUUCGGAAUUACUGGGCGUAAAGGGCGCGUAGGCGGCUUAUCAAGUCAGGCGUGAAAUUCCCGGGCUCAACCUGGGGGCUGCGCUUGAUACUGAUGAGCUUGAAUGCGGGAGAGGAUAGUGGAAUUCCCAGUGUAGAGGUGAAAUUCGUAGAUAUUGGGAAGAACACCGGUGGCGAAGGCGGCUCACUGGCUCGUUUCUGACGCUCAGGCGCGAUAGCGUGGGGAUCAAACAGG